AUGCACGCUGGCGGCGUGCCUAAUACCUGCAAGUCGAGCGAACAGACGAGGAGCUUGCUCCUUUGACGUUAGCGGCGGACGGGUGAGUAACACGUAGGUAACCUACCUAUAAGACUGGGAUAACUUCGGGAAACCGGAGCUAAUACCGGAUAAUAUUUCGAACCGCAUGGUUCGAUAGUGAAAGAUGGCUUUGCUAUCACUUAUAGAUGGACCUGCGCCGUAUUAGCUAGUUGGUAAGGUAACGGCUUACCAAGGCAACGAUACGUAGCCGACCUGAGAGGGUGAUCGGCCACACUGGAACUGAGACACGGUCCAGACUCCUACGGGAGGCAGCAGUAGGGAAUCUUCCGCAAUGGGCGAAAGCCUGACGGAGCAACGCCGCGUGAGUGAUGAAGGUCUUCGGAUCGUAAAACUCUGUUAUUAGGGAAGAACAAACGUGUAAGUAACUGUGCACGUCUUGACGGUACCUAAUCAGAAAGCCACGGCUAACUACGUG
rnacentral:rRNA from 1 species